CAGAAUAGGUAGCUAUCAUAUUACUGCAAGCAUUUAAACACGUAAUACCACUAUAGCAGUAAACCAUUAAACAAAAUAUAUUGGUUGUAUUACUUGGUAUCUUCUAUAUUAAAUAAAAUGCAUGAUUUAAAUUUACAGAUGAAGCUACCAUAGCUAUUCAAUCUUUUGAAGACGAUGUGCUGGAUGCCUUAUGUCCUUCAUCUAUAACUUCAUGUGUGCGAUGUGCGGUGCAUACCUUGCAACUAUGUAUUCUGGAUGGGUUUAAAAAUGCACCAAUAACCAGUUGUAUAGUUCAAGCGAGAAAGGUGGUGAAGAAAUUAAGAACUCCAAAGUAGAGCGUCUACAUUAUAACAAACAUACUUACAUUUAGGGAAUCCCAAAAACAUGAAAAGUCUGAUCUUUAUAAGUUAGCAAAUGUUGUUCUUGCUGUACCCGCUACUCAGUUAGUGUUGAACGGAGUUUUAGUGGAAUAAAGUUCAUAUUAUCUGAUCUACGUACAUCCUUAUCAGCCAAUUUAUUAGAUGCUAUAAUGAUUGUACGCUCAAACACACAAUUUAUGAAAUAAAUAUGAAAUUCAAUAAAGUUUACUAACUAGGAGUUGAUGAUUAAAAGCUUCCUCAUUUUGUAAUUGGUUUAACUAACUGUAAUUGGUUUAAUUAAAAAGUUUAAUAAAAAUAUGAUUUGUUUUAUGUUUUUUUGGAUUUAUAUUACAAUAAUAAAUAAAUUAUUGAGAUGUUCCUACCGUCUAUAUCUUUAUUCUUUAUUUUUAUUUUCUUUAGUAGAAAUUGAAAAUGUCCAAAAGUAUGACAAUUUAUUGGCUUAUUAUGUUAUCUGUUGGGUGGCUUUUUAGUAUUUUGUGAUUUAAAAAGUCUAAACAAUAGCUAAAGUUAAGCCUUUUAGGCUUGGGAAUUGUUAUUUGAAUAGCUGAGACAGAAAUUUAGCUCAUAUGAACAAAAUCUAAACUAAA